AGCGUCUGGUUGUGGUCCAGAAGG
rnacentral:tRNA from 1 species